AACGUAGGUGGCAAGCGUUAUCCGGAAUUACUGGGCGUAAAGGGUGUGCAGGCGGGGUUGCAAGUGGUGUAUGAAAUAUCCCAGCUUAACUGGGAGGGGUUAUGCCAGACUGCAACUCUAGAGGACGAGAGAGGGGGGUGGAAUUCCGGGUGUAGUGGUGAAAUGCGUAGAUAUCAGGAGGAACACCGGCGGUGUGAGACGGCUCUCUGGACCGUUACUGACGCUGAGACACGAAAGCCAGGGGAGCGAACGGG
rnacentral:rRNA from 1 species